AGUGAACGCUGGCGGUAGGCCUAACACAUGCAAGUCGAACGGCAGCACAGUAAGAGCUUGCUCUUACGGGUGGCGAGUGGCGGACGGGUGAGGAAUACAUCGGAAUCUACUUUUUCGUGGGGGAUAACGUAGGGAAACUUACGCUAAUACCGCAUACGACCUACGGGUGAAAGCAGGGGAUCUUCGGACCUUGCGCGAUUGAAUGAGCCGAUGUCGGAUUAGCUAGUUGGCGGGGUAAAGGCCCACCAAGGCGACGAUCCGUAGCUGGUCUGAGAGGAUGAUCAGCCACACUGGAACUGAGACACGGUCCAGACUCCUACGGGAGGCAGCAGUGGGGAAUAUUGGACAAUGGGCGAAAGCCUGAUCCAGCCAUACCGCGUGCGUGAAGAAGGACUUCGGGUUGUAAAGACCUUUUGUUAGGCAAGAAAAGCAGCAGGUUAAUACCCUGCUGUUCUGACGGUACCAAAAGAAUAAGCACCGGCUAACUUCGUG
rnacentral:rRNA from 1 species